UGUGUACAGCCUGAUAAUGUAAUACCAAAAUUUUAACAUUAAUAUUAUCAUUCUAGAACACCCAAAUUCCACCAAAGAAAACAUUCGCCUCAAUUCUACAAGAGUUCGAUACAAGAGUUCGAAUACCCCAAUUUGUUAAUAACUCCAUCAUCACGAAAGCCACUUAUCCAGGUCUCAAAUAAAAAAAAUGUCAGGACUAAACUCAUGUCUAUAUUCAGAUAUAAACUUGUGUAAAUGGGGAUGUCUCGCUCCCUGAGAAUUCCAAAAAAUUAAAUUUAAAUCCAUAAAUAUUAAAAAGAUGAAUUCAAGCAUCAAUCACAAAAUACGAGCACAAGCAGCUUACCCCAAUAUCACGAUCAGAAACCGUUGCUCUUCCAAUAGAUUUAAGCCUAAAAUUUUC
rnacentral:lncRNA from 1 species